rnacentral:rRNA from 1 species
AACGAACGCUGGCGGCAGGCCUAACACAUGCAAGUCGAACGCUGUAGCAAUACAGAGUGGCAGACGGGUGAGUAACGCGUGGGAACCUUCCCAAUGGUGCGGAAUAGCCCAGGGAAACUUGGGGUAAUACCGCAUAAGCCCUUAGGGGGAAAGAUUUAUCGCCAUUGGAUGGGCCCGCGUCGGAGUAGCUAGUUGGUGAGGUAAUGGCUCACCAAGGCAACGAUCCGUAGCUGGUUUGAGAGAAUGACCAGCCACACUGAGACUGAGACACGGCCCAGACUCCUACGGGAGGCAGCAGUGGGGAAUCUUGGACAAUGGGCGCAAGCCUGAUCCAGCCAUGCCGCGUGAGUGACGAAGGCCUUAGGGUUGUAAAGCUCUUUUGCCGGGGACGAUAAUGACGGUACCCGGAGAAUAAGUCCCGGCUAACUUCGUGCCAGCCGCCGCAGUAAUAC